rnacentral:rRNA from 1 species
UACGUAGGGUGCGAGCGUUAAUCGGAAUUACUGGGCGUAAAGCGUGCGCAGGCGGUGCUGUAAGACCGAUGUGAAAUCCCCGGGCUUAACCUGGGAACUGCAUUGGUGACUGCAGCGCUGGAGUAUGGCAGAAGGGGGUGGAAUUCCACGUGUAGCAGUGAAAUGCGUAGAGAUGUGGAGGAACACCGAUGGCGAAGGCAGCCCCCUGGGCCAAUACUGACGCUCAUGCACGAAAGCGUGGGGAGCAAACAGG